rnacentral:rRNA from 1 species
UCAGGAAUAUUGCGCAAUGGAGGAAACUCUGACGCAGCGACGCCGCGUGGGUGAUGAAGGCCUUCGGGUCGUAAAGCCCUGUCGGAAGGGAAGAAAAGCUUGUUGGCUAAUAUCCAGCGAGCCUUUGACGGUACCUUCAAAGGAAGCACCGGCUAACUCCGUGCCAGCAGCCGCGGUAAGACGGAGGGUGCAAGCGUUGUUCGGAUUGACUGGGCGUAAAGGGCGUGUAGGCGGUUCGUUAAGUCGGGUGUGAAAGCCCGGGGCUCAGCUCCGGAAGUGCGCCCGAAACUGGCGAGCUGGAGCGCGGUAGAGGAGGGUGGAAUUCCUGGUGUAGCGGUGAAAUGCGUAGAUAUCAGGAGGAACACCGGCGGCGAAGGCGGCCCUCUGGACCGUUGCUGACGCUGAGACGCGAAAGCGUGGGGAGCAAACAGG